rnacentral:rRNA from 1 species
AGUGGUAACAAGGUUUCCGUAGGUCAAGUUUUGCCUACCACAGUGGCCGACCCGCCGCUAGUCUCGCGAGAGGCAACACGCUCAACGUGCAGAGAGGCCCCCGCUUCGGGGGAUAUCUGCAGCCCAACUUCGCUGUGCGAGUUUGGUCCAGAGACUCAACGAGUGUGGGCCUGGCUACCUAGCCAGGCUUGAGAUAGAGCCCGCCCCUGCUGGCAACGGCAGGGAGCACGCGGAACCUGCGGAAGGAUCAUUA